AUCAGGUGUUUUGGAGCAGGAGAAACAUCUCAAACAUGCAGGACAGUGAGUCUGAGAAACACUGGAGGCUCAUGAGCUUUUCAACGUCUGUGAAACUCCUCGACGGGAGACGAUCCUUGGGGACGUGGCCUCUCUCCCUCUGUGAACUGAGGUGGCUCGUCACAUACCUGCGAGGACGUGAGGACGUGAGGACAUGAGGACAUGAGCUCUGACCAACAAAGACGCCUGUGAAUGUCACUGUUGGAGACAAUGGAGACUAACGUCUCACCUACCUGCUGCUGCUGCUG